CCUACGGGAGGCAGCAGUGAGGAAUAUUGGUCAAUGGGCGCGAGCCUGAACCAGCCAAGUAGCGUGAAGGAUGACUGCCCUACGGGUUGUAAACUUCUUUUAUAAAGGAAUAAAGGGAGGCACGUGUGCCGUGUGGUAGGUACGUUAUGAAUAAGGAGAGGCUAACUCAGUGCCAGCAGCCGCGGUAAUACGGAGGAUCCGAGCGUUAUCCGGAUUGAUUGUGUUUAAAGGGAGCGUAGAUGGGUUGUUAAGUCAGUUGUGAAAGUUUGCUGCUCAACCGUAAAAUUGCAAUUGAUACUGGCAGCCUUGCGUACAGUUGAGGUCGGCGGAAUUCGUGUUGUAGCGG
rnacentral:rRNA from 1 species